rnacentral:rRNA from 1 species
UGCCACAGCCAUAUCACCCUGCAGCCCAAGACUGGUUGCCCACUGACGCUAAGCAGGGUUGAGCCUGGUCAGUACCUGGAUGGGAGACCUCCUGGGAAAACUAGGUUGCUGUUGGAA